UGGGGAAUUUUGGACAAUGGGGGAAACCCUGAUCCAGCCAUCCCGCGUGUGCGAUGAAGGCCUUCGGGUUGUAAAGCACUUUUGGCAGGAAAGAAACGUCAUGGGUUAAUACCCCGUGAAACUGACGGUACCUGCAGAAUAAGCACCGGCUAACUACGUGCCAGCAGCCGCGGUAAUACGUAGGGUGCAAGCGUUAAUCGGAAUUACUGGGCGUAAAGCGUGCGCAGGCGGGUCGGAAAGAAAGAUGUGAAAUCCCAGAGCUAAACUUUGGAACUGCAUUUUUAACUACCGGGCUAGAGUGUGUCAGAGGGAGGUGGAAUUCCGCGUGUAGCAGUGAAAUGCGUAGAUAUGCGGAGGAACACCGAUGGCGAAGGCAGCCUCCUGGGAUAACACUGACGCUCAUGCACGAAAGCGUGGGGGGCAAACAGG
rnacentral:rRNA from 1 species